rnacentral:rRNA from 1 species
UACGUAGGGUGCGAGCGUUGUCCGGAAUUAUUGGGCGUAAAGGGCUCGUAGGCGGUUUGUCACGUCGGGAGUGAAAACUCGGGGCUUAACCCCGAGCCUGCUUCCGAUACGGGCAGACUAGAGGUAUGCAGGGGAGAACGGAAUUCCUGGUGUAGCGGUGAAAUGCGCAGAUAUCAGGAGGAACACCGGUGGCGAAGGCGGUUCUCUGGGCAUUACCUGACGCUGAGGAGCGAAAGCGUGGGGAGCAAACAGG